AUCUUGCAAGGUUCUAGAUAAUACAAACAUCAAAUAAAAGUAACAAAACAAACGGUUUGUAUGAGGCACAAAAUGAGAUACACUAACUCGACAUAUAUCUCAGUGGACCAAACGAAGUAUUUUCAAUGGAAUAUUUUAGAAAGAUCAAUUGAAUCAAGAUCACGGACAUAUUUUAUGUUAUGCCCCAAAAAAUUUGCGUCCACCUCGAGUAGAAAUUAAAUUGACCACCAUUUGAAGCCUUGUUCUCUAGCUGGAGCUUCUAGCAUUGUUUUGCCAAGAACUCCUCAUUGUUGGUCUUGACGACCAGUAUCAUCGAGUCUAGCACUCUUGCAUUCAAUACAAAAAAGUGACAAAAUCGAUGUCUGACUUUAUGCCCCAAAAGUAUGCAACAUAUAUUAUUUUCACAUGGAUGUCAAAAGAUCUGAUAAGACCCCGGUGUUUACGACGCCAUAUAUUAUUAUUUUUUCCUGUGCGGUGUGCAUCGCUCGCGCCAACCGACCAAAUGUGUGUGCAUGGCUCGGCGAGGAGGCCAUUCACGCCGUCAGUUUCAAGCUGGCCUCCUGUGACUGGCUCCUUGGGGCUCUCUGUGUCGUCUGAUCUGCCCGAACGGUGCGCACCCGGGCAGCUUGUCUCGAGGGUCCAUGAUGGGUGGACUAUGGGCGCGCCCGAGGCGACCAUCGUGUUGUGAUUUCGGUCGUGCCCUUGUGAGCCCCCCCCUUCCCGGUGUGGUGCCCCGGACCACACGCGAGGGGGAAGCCGGCUCACCCUGUCAGCAUCCGCGGAUGAUAACGCAUGCAGCGAGCUACUCCCUUCGUAAACUAAUAUAAAAGCGUUUAGAUCACUAUGUGCGAGCCGGAUAGGCGCGUGUGCCCAUGCCCGAUUGUGCGUGCAUGCACGACAUCUCGCGAUAGACAGUUGUUCGGUUGAUGGGCAUCACAGGGUAGAUCGUUGUUGGGUAUGCUGCCUAGAGGCCCCUGCUGGUCUUUCGUUCGCGUGCGUCGGCUACACUCGUGUGUCGGGUCACCCGCCGGGUGUGCCUACACGGUCAAGCGCGUGAUGCAUACACCUAGGGCGUGUUUGGUUGUCGUCGCCUAUAGUAUCCGCGUUGCAUACACAUCUCCACUCAGCCUGGCUCUAGAAAAACAGCCUCAUAUACGACAUCUGUGAUUUGUUUGGUUGCCUGCAUUAGGAGAUCAACUUUGGCACGUUGUUUGGUUGCCUGCAUUGUCUCGACGCAUACAACUACAUGAUCUUUGGUUGCCCACAUGGGGUAUAAUUAAGAGCUAUCACUUGCACUUAGCACACAGGGUUAAGAGAUAGCAGAGGAAGUGGGAGAAGAAAUGCAGUGUGCGCCGGACCAUGGCGACUGCGGUGGAUAGUGGUCGUCGCGCCAUGCCCGACAUGACGAGCAUGGAGUCGUGGACGAGCGACCCCGUCGGCGGCACGGCGAGCGACACCGUCGGCAAACUAGUUACGGUGCUCGCGCAAAGACAGUCGACAGAGGAGGAGAAUGCAGUGCCCGCGCCAUGGUAUCAUCAGUGCAGUGGACGAGAGAGGAGGCCGAGAUGAUCGACACCGGAAAUGACUCCAGUGUAGUAGGGCGAGAGAGAGGAGGCCAAGAUGAUUGACCCCGUUGGCGGUCGCCGAACUACAGUGUGCACGGAGGCAGAAGACACAAGAAAGCAGUGUGCACGCCAUUACAACGUCAGUGCAGUAGGAGGACGGCAGAGAGUAGGCCGAGAUGAGCGAUGUCGUAAACGAAUCUAGUGUAGUAGGACGUGGGCAAGGAGAUCAAGGGGAGCCGGCGUCGAGAGGGACGAAUAGGAGGACUCUGAGCAGAGGAAAGAUGAGCUCGACGGCGGCAGUGCAGUAGACUGAUGCUCAAAGAGAGAUGAAGCUACGAUCGUCGAAACCAAAAACUUACAACACGAAUGUUGUGAGGAACUACGAGAUUAGGCUGCUGGUCAAAGGAAAUUUCAAACGAUCGAUCGUGCACGACGAAUCUGACAAAAUUCGUCAAGAAUAGCUUCAAACGGGAAGACGAAAUUAAGAACUUACGACCGACGAAACUACCAACCGAUCGCCUAAAUGGAACCGUAGCAUCGAGGUGCAUCUUUUUUGUGUAGAGCUUACCUCGAAUCGAAGCACCAUUGUGUAGAUUAGAAGGGUCUAGGAAGAAUAGAAUUAGAGGGAAGGUUAAUGGAGGUAGGAGAAGAUAAGCACGCACGCACAGGCUGCAUACCAGCUCGUAUCCCUCCCAUCUUCCCUUGUGCAAGUGGCCCACCUUGUGCGCUCGCCUCAGCCUGGCUCGCUAGAAACUGCCGAUCUGAGCGUUUCCAGCGAGCCAGGCCCAAGUGUGCUUUAAGGUUCGUGCCAUGCGGGCCGCACAAUAAACGCAGGCAACCAAACGGGCCACUUUCUUCCCGCACGGGCCAGACUGGGCCUAAUAUGGACAACCAAACAUGCCCCUAUAGGUCCGGGCUGUGGGUGGGACACCCUAUUGCACUUGGUGCCGUCUGCACCAGUGCCCCGGUUGCGCCCGUGUGUUGGGUUGCCCACGUCCGGGUACAUUAUCUUAUUUGUGUUGUGUCGGUUUGGCUCGCUGUGUUUUGCAUCGAUGGAUUUGUAGGAGUGUGGGUAUUUUCAUACAUGGGGUGUGCGUUCUUAUAUACUCUCUCUCACACACACACUCCUUUCCACUUGCACAGUUCUCUUUGAGUUGCAGCUAGGGUUUAUUCCAAUUUUCUUGGCGCGGGGGCUUUGUUUGCCGUCGGCGUCUGCCGACGUUGCCGUUCGUUUGUCAUUUCAAGCAUUGUUCACCGUCGGAGUCCGCCGACGUGUUGUUCUUUCAUCGUUCCAACUGAGGUUCAUGUUUGCAUGCUUAUUUUUCUUCAUGUUAGCCGUUCUCAGCUAAUCACAGAUCGCCAUAGCUUUUCCUUUUUGCGGCGUCUGUACUUGUUUCUGUUACUUGGCUAUUGUUUGAGGUAAGUUCUUUCCUACGAUGCUCCUGUUGUCUUCUCUUUCUUUCUGCAGGGUUUGUUAUGUCUGGUUUGUUUUGCACCUCUUCUCGUCACUUGUCAUCUUUUUUCUUUCCUUGUCUUGGUUUUAGGUCCUUUUAGCAGUUGGUGUUUGUCCAUUGUGCAUGUUCUUGUCUCGACAUUCUUAUGUACUUUUGUUUUGGUUGGGUGUUGGCUAUUUGCAUGUAUUUCUUCUUGUUCUUGUUGUUCAUGUGUUUGACAAGCUCGCUCUAUAUGCACUGUAUUGGGGUUAUUGUUUAGUGCCCUUUUUGCAUUGCUUGUUCUUUGCAUGAACGGAUGGUAUUAAAUAACUUUCAAGUUUGUGGUUAAGGGCCCUGCCUUCUCAAAAUCUUCAUUCAAGAGUGAUUGAAGAGGUUUUGAAGAAAUUAUCCAGGCCGAGGAAUACCAAACACGACUUUGUAAACGCCAUCAUGGCUCUUUUUGGAUGGCGACGACGAGCCGACAGAGGAUUUAGGGCACACAAGUGCGGGGGCAUGCACUUUGUGGGCCGUUGAUCUGCGCCAAGAUUCGCACAUAUGUUUGUGUAUAUACUCUUUUUGUGUUGUAUAACACUUCGUAUAUGUCUCUAAUGUUAUGUAUAAACCAUGUCUCUGUUUUUCCAUGAGCCAGAUAACUGUUCGCAUGGGGUAUAUACGGUAAGUCAAUCUGCUGCACAUAUACAAGUCCCAAUGAGAGCGAUCCAUUCAGAGUACAUAUAGCUAGCUCUUCUUCCUCUGUUCUUCUUCGUUGUUAUCUCUCUCUUUCUAGUUCACUCUCAUCUUACAAGAAAUAGAAUCCUAAAGUAAAAUUGGUUAUUACCUGAAUCUGCUGAAAUAGAUACAAAUUAUCAGCAAUACAAGUGGAGUUCUAUCGGAAAGUUGGUCUUAAAGGUUAGUUAUAUUUGCAUAUUUCUUCUUGAUAACUUUUUGUUGUUGUACCACAGUUGAAAUCUAUAAUAUUUCGUCGAAUGUCCUCGUUCUUUUUGUGUUUUGCAAACUGAUGAUCCAACUCGGUUGUUUGGUUUCUUAAAUCGAUGUAUUGGAUACAUUAACUAUGUCUUCUCUCAAAUACUAUCAUUUUAAAACUUCGAUGGAAAUAGUACGGUUAGCGGCAAUACAAUGUAUAUAUGAUUUUUUUUGGUUCAGUUAUUGAGGAUGGAACUUAAUCUAUUUAACUUUUAUUUAUUACAUUUGUUUUACUUCAUGAGUCCUAAAAUAUAUUGACUGUAUUAACUUGAAAUCCUACAUAAUUGUGUUUGCUGAGAGAUGCUACGAUUCCGAUUGUUACAUGGGGCAUAUUAUGGUUGCAUAUGUUGUGAUGUAUGUAAUGUACAUAAGAAAGCAUGUUCUUAAGUUACAGGGAACAAAACGUAAUUGAUUCGAGUUCUAGUUAGUUGAUUUUUUCACUUCAUUACCACUAAAACAUGUUUCAUGUAUGUGACAUGCUAUGAUUAGUAGCGCUAUGUUUAUAUAUGUAAUAAUUUUGGAUUAAGUUACAUUCGUCAUACUUAAUUUUGUUGUCUUAAGUUAAAAGUUCAUAUGGAUGAAACUUAAUAUAUUAAGCUUGCGAUUUAAUAAUCCGUUUCAAUGCAUAACAAGUAGAAUAUUGUGAUUUAAUAAUUUGUUUCAGUGCAUAAUAUGAUGCUCUUGCUAUAAAGUUAUUAGGUUAGAAACUUAAUUGAUUCGAGUAAUACAAGUGUGUAAGCAUCAUUAUAUCAUGUGUGAAACAUUGAAAGUUAUUGUUAUGCCCAUCUACUGUACUUCAGUGAGGUAAUAAAUAUAAAGAUUUAUUUAUGUACUGUAAGCAAUGUAUUAAAUAGUAAUAAUUAACUUAGUAAUUAUUCUAAAAACUAUCAGUGAUGUCAGUGUUAAUAAGCUAUGUGAGUUGUGUUUAAGACAACUUACUAAGUGAAUUCAUGUUUUCAUCUUACAUUUUAUUAGGUUGUUCAAACGACAUGUCAUCUGGAUACAGUGAUGUUGGGAAAAGAGAAAUUUCUGUUGCAGCAACCAAAUAUCCGAAUUGUGUUUUAAAGUCUACGUUAGACGUUGAUCAUGUAUGAAACAUUUCUGUCCCACCACGUCCUUCAAUUGAUGUUCAAAUAGCAUCCGAAGGUAAAAAAUAUUUAUCAACAUGACUUAUAUGCAGUCUUCGGCAGUGAUGUUAUUGACAAGUUGUUUCGUAUCAGAUGAAUUAUCUAUAUGGAACUAUCUAGAAAAUGAAAAUAUAGUGCAUGCUAAUAUAUUCCAAAAAUUCUCACCAUAAUGCUAAUCCAGUACUUAUGUUCAACAGCUCAAAAGAUAAAUAAAUUAUUAUUUUGAAGUGUUGUCAGAGUUAUAAUGGUUAACUAUUUUGUUAUUUAACAUUGCUUCUAUAUUCACUAAACAAUCGUAGUACAAGUAGUUGACAAUUACUUCUAUUGUAGCUCAUAAAGCAGUGGAUAAGUAUGUACUUCAUACUUCAAUCAUGUCAAGUAGUAUUGAAGAUAAUGUGGAGAAAUUUGUGUUACAAAUUAUACAUGAAGUAAAUUGUCAUCAGAAAGGGAUUGAAAGUAAUGGACAACACAACAUCGAUUUUGGACAUCUUAUCGAUAUUCAAGUUAUAUGAAAAGAAGUUAAAUGUGUUCUAUUUCAAUCAAAUAUUUUAAAUGUUUCCUCACGGUUGGAUCUGCCAUUAGAAAAAUUGUCUCGGUUUCUUGAGGAACUGAUAUUAAAGACAAGUAAAGAACAACUUGACAGUGCAUGGAUAAAGAUUAUAUCCCCGCUAUAUAAAUAUCACUGGAAGAAGUAUCGUAGAGCAACUGAUUAGCAGACAAUGUAUGGAUCACGAGAUUUAUAUUAUAUGUGUUCAAAGGCUUAAUCAGUUGGAUGAUGAGCAUCCAAAACAUGGUGAUUUACGACAAAGUAGGAUAUUUCUUAAACCAGAGUUUGUUGUAAGCAUAUUUUCUGCAUUCUUAUUUAAUAUAACAAGAUAGCAUGUUAAUGGUUGUUAACAUACCUAAAAUGAUAUGCAGACAUUUGCUUCUGCAAAAAUUGAUGUUACGAAGGCGAAGUCAAUUCAGAAUAUAUUAAUUGGGAGUGAUCUAAAGUGUCAUGUUAGUUCUACAAGAAUGUUAAUCAUUGGCGUACCAAUGAAGGGAGGUUG